rnacentral:tRNA from 1 species
GAGGGUAUAGCUCAGUGGUAUGGCGCAUGCUUAGCAUGCACAACGUCCUGGGUUCAAUCCCCAGUACUUCCA